UACGACUAUAUAUCAGGCAUAUCAAUAAGCGGAGGAAAAGAAACUAACUAAGGAUUCCCCUAGUAACGGCGAGUGAAGCGGGAAGAGCUCAAAUUUGAAAUCUUAAAGGGUUUCCCUUUACGAAUUGUAGUUUAAAGAAGUGUUUUCUGUUGGAGUUUCGGUAAAAGUUCUUUGGAAUAGGACAUCAUAGAGGGUGAGAAUCCCGUAUUUGACCGUUACUUUCCAGCUGUGUGAUACACUUUCAAAGAGUCGGAUUGUUUGGGAAUGCAGUCCAAGAUGGGUGGUAAAUUUCAUCUAAAGCUAAAUAUUGGCGAGAGACCGAUAGCGAACAAGUACCGUGAGGGAAAGAUGAAAAGAACUUUGAAAAGAGAGUUAAACAGUACGUGAAAUUGUCAAAAGGGAAGCGUUUGACACCAGUGUUGUUUUCUCGAAAAUCAAUUAAAAAUGACCGUGAUUUUGUGUUGUAUUGACCUUAUAAGCUUUCUGCACUUUUUUCAUGUCUUUUUUAAUGCACUUUUCGUUUAACAAGUCAACAUCAAUUUCUUUUGUUGUAAAAAGGUCAGUAGGAAGGUGGCUUGCGCUUCGGCGGAUAAAGUGUUUAUAGCCUUUUACUCCUGCAAUCGGAGAGAUUGAGGUCUGCAGCGUAGAUCCUUCGGGGUUAGAUACAUUUGUGCUAAGCUAUAGCCUUGUAUAGACAACUUGUUGACUAUGCUCAGUCAUGUAGCUUACUCGCUUAUGCUAUUUUACCUACGCUUAGGAUGUUGAACGCGCACAGAGUCUC
rnacentral:rRNA from 1 species